rnacentral:rRNA from 1 species
GUAGGGAAUAUUGCGCAAUGGACGAAAGUCUGACGCAGCGACGCCGCGUGAGUGAUGAAGGCCUUAGGGUCGUAAAGCUCUGUUGAAUGGGAAGAAAAAAAUGACGGUACCAUUCGAGGAAGGACCGGCUAACUUCGUGCCAGCAGCCGCGGUAAUACGAGGGGUCCUAGCGUUGUUCGGAAUCAUUGGUCGUAAAGGGUGUGUAGGUGGCCAUGUAAGUCAGGUGUGAAAGCCCCGGGCUCAACCCGGGAAGUGCACUUGAUACUGCGUGGCUUGAGUACCGAAGAGGGUAGUGGAAUUCCAGGUGUAGUGGUGAAAUACGUAGAUAUCUGGAGGAACACCGGUGGCGAAGGCGGCUACCUGGUCGAGUACUGACACUGAGACACGAAAGCAUGGGGAUCAAACAGGAUUAGAAACCCUGGUAGUCC